GAUGAACGCUGGCGGCGUGCCUAAUACAUGCAAGUCGAGCGAACAGACGAGGAGCUUGCUCCUUUGACGUUAGCGGCGGACGGGUGAGUAACACGUAGGUAACCUACCUAUAAGACUGGGAUAACUUCGGGAAACCGGAGCUAAUACCGGAUAAUAUUUCGAACCGCAUGGUUCGAUAGUGAAAGAUGGCUUUGCUAUCACUUAUAGAUGGACCUGCGCCGUAUUAGCUAGUUGGUAAGGUAACGGCUUACCAAGGCAACGAUACGUAGCCGACCUGAGAGGGUGAUCGGCCACACUGGAACUGAGACACGGUCCAGACUCCUGCGGGAGGCAGCAGUAGGGAAUCUUCCGCAAUGGGCGAAAGCCUGACGGAGCAACGCCGCGUGAGUGAUGAAGGUCUUCGGAUCGUAAAACUCUGUUAUUAGGGAAGAACAAACGUGUAAGUAACUGUGCACGUCUUGACGGUACCUAAUCAGAAAGCCACGGCUAACUACGUG
rnacentral:rRNA from 1 species